GAUGAACGCUAGCGAUAGGCCUAACACAUGCAAGUCGAGGGGCAGCAUGGUCUUAGCUUGCUAAGACUGAUGGCGACCGGCGCACGGGUGCGUAACGCGUAUGCAACUUGCCUCACAGAGGGGGAUAACCGGUCGAAAGACGGACUAAUACCGCGUACACUUGGGAUAGGGCAUCCUGACCCAAGGAAAUGAAAUUCGCUGUGAGAUAGGCAUGCGUCCCAUUAGCUAGUUGGUGAGGUAACGGCUCACCAAGGCGACGAUGGGUAGGGGAACUGAGAGGCUGCACCCCCAGAAUGGUGCUGAGACACAGACCAGUCUCCGACGGGGGGGAGCAGUAUGUAAUAUUGGGGGAUGAGGGAGGACCUGAACCAGCCGCGUGGCGUAAAGAAUGACUGUCAUAUGGAAUGUAAACUUCUUGGAAAGGAGAAUAGCAAGAGCAACGUGUGGCUCCCUGAAGGUACCGUAUGAAUAAGCAUCGGCUAACUCCGUG
rnacentral:rRNA from 1 species